GUUUUUCUCUUUCAAAAUUUUUCCUUCUUAACGUUUUUUCCACGAUUCUUGUUUCACAAUUUCAGUUAAAUUUGAUGUUUUAUGAGUUGAUAUAGUUGAAAAAAUUAAAUUUUGGAUGAGAAUUGGAACUGGGUUUUGUUUUGUUGCGAUAAAUGGAGGAUAAUCGGAGCGAUAAAUGGAGGAUAAUCGGAGUUGAAUGAAUAUUGUAGAUGAUUUUGGGUUGAUUUUUUGUUGUUGUUGGUUGAAUUUUUUCGAAGAUAACUGAUAUUUUGAAGAAAAAAGUGGUUGAAAAAAGUUUCUUCUCCAAAAGGCGAACAAAUUAAAAAAAAAUAUGAGAAGAAAAGAAAAGCAAAAGAAAUUGAAAAGUCAAACAAUGUUGAUGACGAUGUUGAGAACUCUUUGUGCUAAUGAAUCUGAAGAAGACACAGAGGAAGAGUUGUUCUGGCUGAGAUACAAAAAUUAGCUGAGAUUAUCCCAUUGUGUCCCAAGCUUGUAAUUUCUACGAUAAGAAAGGAACUAUGGUUUGUAUAUGGUAACAUACGCAGAGUGUUUUUCUUAUGGUAAAAGAGUUCCUUUGAUUGAAUUCAAUCCCAACACACUUCGUACAUGUUAUGCUGGACUAUUGUGGGACUGUAUAUGGCAUGAGAAAACAAGAAGCAAAUGCUCAUGGCGAUGUCGAAGCACCCUUGAGGCCUGGCAGGCAAAGCCGAAUAACUAGUGUCACUAAAGUUUAAGAAAUAUGAUGAUUGUUGAGUUUAUUACAUUGGAUAGUCGACAAACUGGUGUAUGGAUGUUGUUUUUUUUUGUACAAACUUAUUUCAUGUUUUGAAGUGUUUAAAUGUUACUUAUUUUGAAGUGAAUGAAAGUAAUUCAUUUCUGUUGUAUAAGUUGAAUAUGUUUUCAACA